AUACGGAGGAUGCGAGCGUUAUCCGGAUUUAUUGGGUUUAAAGGGUGCGUAGGCUGUGCGUUAAGUCAGGGGUGAAAUGCCGUCGCUCAACGACGGAGCUGCCCUUGAUACUGGCGUGCUGGAGUACGGAUGCCGUUGGAGGAAUGAGUGGUGUAGCGGUGAAAUGCUUAGAUAUCACUCAGAACACCGAUUGCGAAGGCAUCUGACGAAUCCGUCACUGACGCUGAGGCACGAAAGCGUGGGGAUAGAACAGGAUUAGAUACCCUGGUAUUCCACGCCGUAAACGAUGAUGACUAACCGUCGGCGAUAGACAGCCGGUGACCAAGCGAAAGCGAUAAGUCAUCCACCUGGGGAGUACGUCGGCAACGAUGAAACUCAAAUGAAUUGACGGGG
rnacentral:rRNA from 1 species